AGAGGAGGAUGUUCCUGGGACUUCGGGACCAGCUGUCUGAAGACUACCCGAGAGAUGGGCCACAGCCCGCUCCCACCCUUUUAACUGGACCAGACCCGGCACUGAAGAGGGAAGUAGAUGUGGACCGGGGGUGACUCACAUCUGGAGCAAACCUGCCCUGCCCUGCAUUGCCUCCCCAGACCCCACCUUCCUCCAGAUGACUGAAACCCACGCUGGCACAGGAGGAGAGAGGCUGCCCGGGGCUGAGAGGCAGGCCCAGAGAGGUUGGGUCGCACCCCUUGCGAGCCCCUCAUCCCUCCUCCUAGAGCAAGCCAGCUGCCACGGAAACCAACAACAGAGCUUCACUUUUUCCUCCAGGGCCUCCCCCAAACCUCAGCAUUAGGGCGGGGUGGGGGGGUGCCUAGCUCCACUGCCUUUCCUCUGUGCUUCCCCUCCGAGGCCCACAGACACUCUCUCUGCCUGGUCAAGGAAUGGGGGCAUUUCAGGAGGAGUCCAGGCAGUCAUUGCUGUGACUGCCAUCAGGUGGGACUGGCUGGCUGUUCCAACCCAGUAGUUGGGCUCUCAGGGCCUCAGGAGCUGCUCCUCCAUUCUUCCCCCAACCUGGAAGACGGGUCCAGCACCAGGAAGCGUUUGCUGUUGGAUGAGGGGCUGCUUUACUCCUCUCCGGCAUCUGGCCUGUCGAGAGAUGGAGUGGCAGGGUGACAGGGUGUAUAGGCUCCCGGAAAGGCCCCUUUGGGAGUCUGGAGACUUGGGUUCUGGUUCUAGCUCUGCCACGCCCUCCCCAGGGUAUCCUGGCAAGCUGCUUCUCCCUGCUUGCCUCAGUCUCCCCGUCUGUGAAUUGGGGAUGUGCAGCCCUGCUCUCCUGCAUAAGGUUAGUACAAGGUGGAGUUCAGGUCUGUUGUACUUAAUAGAUGAUUAUUUUUUUCAGAGAGUCUCAGAAGGUUUUAGCCUUCCUCUUGUCUCUUCUCCCAGGCUGAGUUCACCUUCCUGGGUCGGCAUUUCUGGGAGGCCUCCCCCUCACCACCACCCCCCAUCCCUUGGCAGUCUCCUCCUGCCUAGGCUGCGGUGGGGAGUCUCCCCAGAGUCCAGUGACCCCUAUAACAGGGGCCGCAGUUUUCCUGAGGCAGGGACCAGGGACAAGGUGCAUUGUGUGCCCCCCGCCCCCAUCUUGGGGCCUCCUAUUGGUGGCGCCUACUUAUCUGUCAGGCCCUGUGCCCGGCGCCUCACUUUCAUACAUUAUCUCAUUUCGUCUUCACCUCCCUCCUGAAGCAGGCCACGUGGGUGAAACUUCUGCACAGGGAAGCUGCUCUGGGGCCCUGAAAUGAAGCCGACGUUAGAAUCAGAGAAGACGGACAAGUCCUGAUUUGGGGGCUACCUCGCUGUGACUCUAGCCUUGGUCCUUGUCCUCCCUGAACCUGUAUCCAGGCCCGGAAGGUGGGAAUGUUACCCAUCUUGGAGGGUAGCAGGAUUGCAGGAGUGAUGUGAGAGGGGCUGCACGUCAGCUCUCUCUCCUGCACCCCCGAAGGCCAAGGGCACCCACCCCAGGGACUCUCCUCCCCCUCACUGGCCUGCCGCAGAGGCAGCGAGCUCUCUGGAAUUCCUCCAUCCUACAGGCUGGUGCUAUGGGCUGGACCUUGGCUGCUGCCAUGAGAAAUGAGCUGAACUUGUCCAGACAGGGGAUCCAGGCCAGCACGGCCCUUCCCAGCCUGCCCACUCCUGCCCUGCCCCCCGUGAAGGCCGCGCCUCCUCCAGCUGGCCAUGGUGGAGAGGGCUGCCAGGCCCACUGAGACACCAUCCACACCCCCAGGCAACCUGGCUGGCUCAGCUGGGGAAAGUGUGGGUGGUCAGAGCCUCCAGAGCUCCUUCACUGAAUGAUGCAGAGACCACCCAGAGAGCGUGGCCACGUGGCCAGGGUCACACACGGAGCUAGCGCUGCAGCCCUCUCAUCUGCCGAGCCAAGGAAAGAACACUGUGGUCUGGGGAUACCUGGACCUCAAAAUGAUCUUUUCCUCCUGCUCCAUGAAGGAAGGACUAGUUGGGGGCUGCCCCCAACUUCAGAUACUUUUCCAACCAGUUUGUGCUGGAGCCCGCCUCCCCACUUACCCACUCAUCCAGUCCCACCUCCCUGCCUUUGCUUAUGCUGUUCCACCUGCCCCAGCCAGCCACCUCCCCAAACACAGUACACUCUGUCACUUUUGCCUUCCCACCUGGUGUUUGUCGCCCUCUGAACACAUGCCCCAGCUCGCCUUUGGGGAACACUCCUCCUCUCAUAGGAGGGCUGGGUGGGGUCCAGACCCUGUCAUUCAUUAGCCCUCCAGGGCUCAGGCAUGAGUCUUUUUUAUUUUUUUAAACGUUUGGGGGUGUGUGUGUGUGACAAUUAUAGACUCAGAGGAAGCUAAGAGUUUUUUAAAAGCUUAGAAAAUAUUUGAGACUUGAAGAAAAAAAUGUGUUUGCCCCAAAAUUCUAAGACUGAAGAGCUGAAAUUAAUGAACGUUUACUGUGCUCAAACCUAACACUCGGUAGUCAUAAAAAUUGUAUUACCUUGAAAAC